UUGUCUUCAAGAAACGUUCAGUCAAUAAAAUUGGUCUCUUCCUUUUGGGGGACUUUUCUUCUCUUCUUUUUCUUUCUUUCUUUCUUCUUCUUUGUAAUGAGCUGCGUUUUAACACGUUGACCUCCCGAUGGCAGGACCCUGCCGAAGCGCUUCCCUUGCCUCAGGGGAUUCCGCUGAAGUCUACAAUCCAGCGGCUGAAGAAGGAAGUCCUCCAUUUAACAAAAAGGUCGAAGAAGAUGGAAGGCGAGCUUC
rnacentral:lncRNA from 1 species